rnacentral:rRNA from 1 species
CGGUGGAGCAUGUGAUUUAAUUCGACGCAACGCGAAGAACCUUACCCCGGCUUGACACUGGGAAAGACUGUACGAGAGAUCUCUCCCAUGUUUCACAGGUGUGACGAGCGCAACCCUCGUUUCUAGUUGCCAUCAGGACGUCAAGUAUCAUGGCCCUUACGUCUUGGCUACACUACAUGGGCGUUACAAGGGUCGCAAGAGCGCAAGCUGGAGCCUCCCCAAAAGCGCCCUCAGUUCAGAUUGAGGUGCAACUCGACCUCAUGAAGGUGGAAUCGCUAGUAAUCGGGAUCAGAACGCCGCGGUGAAUACGUUCCCGGGCCUUGUACACACCGCCGUCAAGCCACGAAAGGACAGAGCGCUCUAAGUCGCUAAGGUAACCCGCAAGGGAGCCCAGCGCCUAAACGAGAUCUCUAAUUGGGGCUGAGUCGUACAACGU